rnacentral:rRNA from 1 species
AAAAGCUCGUAGUUGGGUUUCUCGGUGGGAGCGAUCGGUCUGGCGCUUAGCGCGAGUACUUGCAUCGUCUCCGGCCAUCCUUGGGGAGAGUCUGUCUGGCAUUAAGUUGUCGGGCAGAGGAUCCUCAUCGUUUACUGUGAAAAAAUUAGAGUGUUCAAAGCAGGCUUAUGCCGUUGAAUAUAUUAGCAUGGAAUAAUAAGAUAGGACUUUGGUACUAUUUUGUUGGUUUGCGCACCAAAGUAAUGAUUAAUAGGGACAGUUGGGGGUAUUCGUAUUCCGUUGUCAGAGGUGAAAUUCUUGGAUUUACGGAAGACGAACUACUGCGAAAGCAUUUACCAAGGAUGUUUUCAUUAAUCAAGAACGAAAGUUAGGGGAUCGAAGAUGAUCAGAUACCAUCGUAGUCUUAACCAUAAACUAUGCCGACUCGGGAUUGGCGGGCGUUUCUUUUUUGACCCCGUCAGCACCGUAUGUGAAAACAAAGUCUUUGGGU